rnacentral:rRNA from 1 species
UACAGAGGGGGCAAGCGUUGUUCGGAAUUACUGGGCGUAAAGGGCGCGUAGGCGGCCUGUUAAGUCGAACGUGAAAUCCCCGGGCUCAACCCGGGAACUGCGUCCGAUACUGGCAGGCUUGAAUCCGGGAGAGGGAUGCGGAAUUCCAGGUGUAGCGGUGAAAUGCGUAGAUAUCUGGAGGAACACCGGUGGCGAAGGCGGCAUCCUGGACCGGCAUUGACGUUGAGGCGCGAAAGCUAGGGGAGCAAACAGG